UACGGAAGGGGCAAGCGUUGUUCGGAAUCAUUGGGCGUAAAGGGCGCGUAGGUGGUUCUGUAUGUCUACCGUGAAAGCGUACGGCUCAACCGUAUUUUGUCGGUAGAAACUGCAGGACUUGAGGCUGGGAGGGGCUGGUGGAAUUCCCUGUGUAGCGGUGAAAUGCGUAGAUAUCGUAAGGAAGACCAGUGGCGAAGGCGGGUCUCUGGACAGUUCCUGACGCUGAGGCACGAAGGUCAGGGGAGCAAACGGG
rnacentral:rRNA from 1 species